GUCCACGCCCUAAACGAUGUCUACUAGUUGUUGGUGGAGUAAAUCCAUGAGUAACGCAGCUAACGCGUGAAGUAGACCGCCUGGGGAGUACGGUCGCAAGAUUAAACUCAAAGGAAUUGACGGGGCCCGCACAAGCGGUGGAUUAUGUGGAUUAAUUCGAUGCAACGCGAAAACCUUACCUGGCCUUGACAUGCCACUAACGAAGCAGAGAUGCAUUAGGUGCUAGAAAGAGAAAGUGGACACAGGUGCUGCAUGGCUGUCGU
rnacentral:rRNA from 1 species